GUAGGGGUCCAAGCGUUAAUCGGAAUUACUGGGCGUAAAGCGUGCGCAGGGCGGUUGUGCAAGACCGAUGUGAAAUCCCCGGGCUUAACCUGGGAAUUGCAUUGGUGACUGCACGGCUAGAGUGUGUCAGAGGGGGGUAGGAUUCCACGUGUAGCAGUGAAAUGCGUAGAGAUGUGGAGGAAUACCGAUGGCGAAGGCAGCCCCCUGGGAUAACACCGACGCUCAUGCACGAAAGCGUGGGGAGCAAACAGGAUUAGAUACCCUGGUAGUCCACGCCCUAAACGAUGUCAACUAGUUGUUGGGGAUUCAUUUCCUUAGUAACGUAGCUAACGCGUGAAGUUGACCGCCUGGGGAGUACGGUCGCAAGAUUA
rnacentral:rRNA from 1 species